UGAACGCUGGCGGCGUGCUUAACACAUGCAAGUCGAACGAUGAAGCCUAGCUUGCUAGGUGGAUUAGUGGCGCACGGGUGAGUAAUAUAUAGAUAAUGUGCCUUUUAGUCUGGGAUAGCCAUUGGAAACGAUGAUUAAUACUAGAUACUCCUUCUAAACCUAAGUUUAGUCGGGAAAGUUUUUCGCUAAAAGAUCAGUCUAUAUCCCAUCAGUUAGUUGGUAAGGUAACGGCUUACCAAGGCAAUGACGGGUAGCGGGUUUGAGAGGAUGAUCCGCCACACUGGUACUGAGACACGGACCAGACUCCUACGGGAGGCAGCAGUGAGGAAUAUUGCACAAUGGGGGAAACCCUGAUGCAGCAACGCCGCGUGGAGGAUGACGCAUUUCGGUGUGUAAACUCCUUUUAUGAGUCAAGAAAAUGACGGUAGCUCAUGAAUAAGCACCGGCUAACUCC
rnacentral:rRNA from 1 species